CCACGUUCUAGCUAAAUUGUACCUUGCGGGGGUGCUGUGACAGCGUUUUAGUGCUUUCAGGGGAACAAUGGGGUUCUGGCAGUGUAGGGGGAAGUGUGUUCUUGCUGGCAUUGCUGCAGGCUGAAGAGAAGGAGUGAAUGAGUGCCAGAGGCUGUGUCCAGGCAUGGAAACCUGUCCAACGGUCAAGAUUUGUCUUGCAAGCAUCUGGAGCUAGAGGACAGGCAAAAGGAGGACAAAGCCAGGUUCAGAUGUGGUCUCUCUCAGGGUAUGCACAACAUGUCCAGCCAUUUGAUAGCAUGGAUAGCAGCCAGGUGAAGAGCCGGUAGCCCGCAGGCGAAGUAAGUCAGCAGGCACUUUCCAAGGAUAUGCAACGUCGCACUCCCUGUCAGUGCCCAGCCAGGGGAAGCGAGUGAACCGAAUUCGGUGAUGAAUCUUGGUCACGUGCCAUCUGACUGCGACCCUGAUGUAUGGCCCAUCCUUCGACUUUCGAGCCAUUGGACCAUCACUUCGAAUUCUUCAGAUUAAUGCUGAGGGUCUGUCAGCAGGGCUUCCAGACUAAUGCAGUAUUGCCAACUCUCAUGACUGUUGCUAUUUUUCUUGAGGGCCCUGCUCGAGGAAUCAUGAAAACCCCAGCUUUCAUUAAACAAAAAAGAAGUUUCUAGCUCUCAUGGUUGCAGAGGAAAACUGGAAAGCAAAACCCAGGGGCCCCCCGGAGAUUCAAAAACCUGAAGGGAUAUUAAAAAAGGAAUUCAAAAAUUGUUAUUUUUUAAAAGCUCAAGAUUUUUUUUUCAGACCUGGCUCAUGAUUUUAUGAAUGUUUGGGAUGGCCCACGCUGAUACUGUAAUGCAAAGAAUAAUGAAUGAGGUGAAUGGGUGAGCGCUGACAAGACUGGGUUCUGAUCUCAUUAGCUGGGCAGACAAGCCUGAGUUUGAACGGCCAGGGCAGAAAAUGCAACUGUGGUGUAACAUUUAGGCAUUCCCCAAAGCUUCACGCUGAGUCAUACAAGUGUCAAGAUAAUAUGGUGGUGGGUGCUGUGAUUAGGUUAGAUUAGAUUGGCUAUGUCUUUGCUGGGGGAAAAAGGUGUGUUCUUAACUCCGCUUAAUAUAGGAGUGAAGACAUAGCGACUUGGUUUUAACUGGGUUUAGCAGUUUGAGUUCAACUCCACUAAAGGAGUUCCUCACACUCCUAAUCUGAGUUGCUGUAUCUUCACUGUUUGCUAACCUGAGUUAAGAACACACCUCUUUUUGCAGUGAAUGCACGGUUUUUGUGCAAGCAUCUGGGAGUGUGACAAAAGCAGACAAGCCCUUACACAUACCCUGGUCACGGACCCUGCAGGGGAAGUUAGCUAUUGAAAGAUCUCUCUGUGUGCUAAGAAAGCUCGUGAGAAAUAAGGGGGAAAGAUGGUGGCUGAUUAUGUUGUUGGUUUUUAAGCCACUCCUGUUUUUUGUUGUUGUUGAAUGCUUGGGGUUCACAAUAUUGGUGACUGAACUUAAUUCCAGCUAGGCAGCACAACACCCAUCUACUGUUCCUGCCGCUACGCCAUCACCUGGGGUUAGCUGCAGCUUAACCACAUUGGCUAGAUCUACGCCAUGCCCUAACCACUGUGGUUGACAUCACUCAGACAUUCAGCGUCACACUAGCUCCUAACUAUGAGGUAUUGUCUCUGCUGUGAGUAGGUGGGGAACAAGCAAAAGGGAGGCGACACAAGAGCUUCUCGCUCGCACCUUCUCGCACAGAAUCAUAACAACUAGAGGUGCAAGGAUCUUGGUGAAUUUACAUUCGCAACACCCCUUUCAGGUAAGGCAGUUUUAUCGCCACCCACUUUAAAUGGAGACGGGAAUCACAGCCAGAUUAAGGGACUUGCCCACGGUUGCGCAGGAAGCCUGUGACACAGCGUAGUGUUGAGCACAGAGGCCCAGAGCCUCAAAACUCCAUUGAAAUGAAUGGGCCAUGUCUACACAUGCAGCGAGCUAUCCCGCUGCAGUACAUCUGGUGAAGACUCUUCCAUCGGCAUAAAAAACCUACCUGCGUGAGCUCUCCCACCGAAAUAGUACUGUGCACGUGAGCACUUAUGUAGGUGUAAUUUAUGUGGCUCUAGGGGGAGGUUUAUUCACACCCCUGAGCUAUAUAAGUUAUGCUGAGAUACGCUGUAAUGUAGACAUGGCUUUAGUCACCUAAAUACCUCUGAGGAUCUGGGCCAGACUUUUAAAUUCCAUUUCAUUGUCUUAACCACACCACCACCCUUCCCCUGUGAUCUCAGUGGAGUCAAUCUAGUUUUACAGUGGGUUCUUCAAAGGGCUCAGAAUCUAGUGCACAAUACUGUUUACAGGACUAUAGCAGAGCCACAUAAUACAGUAACUCCUCACUUAAAGUCAUCCCGGUUAACGUUGUUUCGUUGUUAUGUUGCUGAUC